rnacentral:rRNA from 1 species
AGAGUUUGAUCAUGGCUCAGAUUGAACGCUGGCGGCAGGCCUAACACAUGCAAGUCGAGCGGUAGCACAGAGAGCUUGCUCUCGGGUGACGAGCGGCGGACGGGUGAGUAAUGUCUGGGAAACUGCCUGAUGGAGGGGGAUAACUACUGGAAACGGUAGCUAAUACCGCAUAACGUCGCAAGACCAAAGUGGGGGACCUUCGGGCCUCAUGCCAUCAGAUGUGCCCAGAUGGGAUUAGCUAGUAGGUGGGGUAACGGCUCACCUAGGCGACGAUCCCUAGCUGGUCUGAGAGGAUGACCAGCCACACUGGAACUGAGACACGGUCCAGACUCCUACGGGAGGCAGCAGUGGGGAAUAUUGCACAAUGGGCGCAAGCCUGAUGCAGCCAUGCCGCGUGUGUGAAGAAGGCCUUCGGGUUGUAAAGCACUUUCAGCGGGGAGGAAGGCGAUAAGGUUAAUAACCUUGUCGAUUGACGUUACCCGCAGAAGAAGCACCGGCUAACUCCGUGCCAGCAGCCGCGGUAAUACGGAGGGUGCAAGCGUUAAUCGGAAUUACUGGGCGUAAAGCGCACGCAGGCGGUCUGUCAAGUCGGAUGUGAAAUCCCCGGGCUCAACCUGGGAACUGCAUUCGAAACUGGCAGGCUAGAGUCUUGUAGAGGGGGGUAGAAUUCCAUGUGUAGCGGUGAAAUGCGUAGAGAUCUGGAGGAAUACCGGUGGCGAAGGCGGCCCCCUGGACAAAGACUGACGCUCAGGUGCGAAAGCGUGGGGAGCAAACAGGAUUAGAUACCCUGGUAGUCCACGCCGUAAACGAUGUCGAUUUGGAGGUUGUGCCCUUGAGGCGUGGCUUCCGGAGCUAAACGCGUUAAAUCGACCGCCUGGGGAGUACGGCCGCAAGGUUAAAACUCAAAUGAAUUGACGGGGGCCCGCACAAGCGGUGGAGCAUGUGGUUUAAUUCGAUGCAACGCGAAGAACCUUACCUGGUCUUGACAUCCACAGAACUUAGCAGAGAUGCUUUGGUGCCUUCGGGAACUGUGAGACAGGUGCUGCAUGGCUGUCGUCAGCUCGUGUUGUGAAAUGUUGGGUUAAGUCCCGCAACGAGCGCAACCCUUAUCCUUUGUUGCCAGCGGUUAGGCCGGGAACUCAAAGGAGACUGCCAGUGAUAAACUGGAGGAAGGUGGGGAUGACGUCAAGUCAUCAUGGCCCUUACGACCAGGGCUACACACGUGCUACAAUGGCAUAUACAAAGAGAAGCGACCUCGCGAGAGCAAGCGGACCUCAUAAAGUAUGUCGUAGUCCGGAUUGGAGUCUGCAACUCGACUCCAUGAAGUCGGAAUCGCUAGUAAUCGUAGAUCAGAAUGCUACGGUGAAUACGUUCCCGGGCCUUGUACACACCGCCCGUCACACCAUGGGAGUGGGUUGCAAAAGAAGUAGGUAGCUUAACCUUCGGGAGGGCGCUUACCACUUUGUGAUUCAUGACUGGGGUGAAGUCGUAACAAGGUAACCGUAGGGGAACCUGCGGUUGGAUCACCU